rnacentral:rRNA from 1 species
GACGAACGCUGGCGGCGUGCUUAACACGUGCAAGUCGAACGGUGAAGCGCCUUCCUUUUUGGUGGGUGUGGAUGAGUGGCGAACGGGUGAGUAACACGUGAGUAACCUGCCCCCUUCUUCUGGAUAACCGCAUGAAAGUGUGGCUAAUACGGGAUAUUCUGGGUCUGUCGCAUGAUGGGUCUGGGAAAGAUAUUGUUUCGGUGGGGGAUGGGCUCGCGGCCUAUCAGCUUGUUGGUGGGGUGAUGGCCUACCAAGGCGGUGACGGGUAGCCGGCCUGAGAGGGUGGACGGUCACACUGGGACUGAGACACGGCCCAGACUCCUACGGGAGGCAGCAGUGGGGAAUAUUGCACAAUGGGCGCAAGCCUGAUGCAGCGACGCCGCGUGAGGGAUGGAGGCCUUCGGGUUGUGAACCUCUUUCGCCAGUGAAGCAGGCCUGCCUCGUUUGUGGGUGGGUUGACGGCAGCUGGAGAAGAAGCGCCGGCUAACUACGUG